GACGAACGCUGGCGGCGUGCCUAAUACAUGCAAGUCGAACGCAGUGGGGACGGGUUAGUGACACGUGGGUAACCUCCCAUCAGAGGGGAUAACACUUGGAAACAAGUGCUAAACCGCUAUUGAUGUAUGGACUAGCUGUGCAUGCGCUAGUGGGUGAGGUAACGGCUUACCAAGGCCACGAUGCCUAGCCGACCUGAGAGGGUGAUCGGCCACACUGGUACUGGGACACGGCCCAGACUCCUACGGGAGGCAGCAUUAGGGAAUCUUGGGCAAUGGACGCAAGUCUUACCGAGCAACGCCGCGUGAAUGACGAAGGUUUUCGGAUCGUAAAACACUGUUGUUAGAGAAGCGGUAUCUAAACAGAAAGCCACGGCUAACGACGUGCCAGCAGCCGCGGUAAUAC
rnacentral:rRNA from 1 species